CAAUAAGAUCUUCUCCAGACUGAACAACCCCAGUUCCCUCAGCCACUCCCCAUUAGACUUGUGAUCCGGCUUCAUUGCCUUUCUCCGGACACACUCCAUUGCCUUUCACAUAGAGAGGAGCCCAAACCUGAGCACAGCCCUGAGGUGCGGCCUAAACUCUCACAGCCCACCAGCAACUUCUGGCAGUCCCACAAAGAUUGUGAAACCGCAAGUGAAGCUCCCCUAUCUGAAAGCAAAGAGCGAAUGAGCUGAGUUUAUUGAAAGAUUCCACGAGCAGAGCGGAGCCACACGGAGCGCCUCGUACCUACCGCUAAACGGGCGCCAGGCACCGAGAGAGGCCGGGGCCGGCCGGGUCCCAUCGGCGGGGUCACCGCUCGGCCGAGCCCUACGGCGGGACAUGGCUGAGGGAUCCCUCAACCCCACGGCCGGCAGGACGAGGAGAGCGGGGCCUUCUUUGUGACGGAGGAGGAGCAGAACGAAACGCUUCUCCCCUCCGUUCAGCCCCUCGGGAGCGCGCACAACGCGGCCAAGCAAAGCGGGGAGGGGAGGGAGGGGAAAUAAAAAUGUCGGCGGGUGAAA